UACGUAGGGUGCAAGCGUUGUCCGGAAUUAUUGGGCGUAAAGAGCUCGUAGGCGGUCUGUCGCGUCUGCUGUGAAAACUCAGGGCUUAACCCUGAGCUUGCAGUGGGUACGGGCAGACUAGAGUGCGGUAGGGGAGACUGGAAUUCCUGGUGUAGCGGUGAAAUGCGCAGAUAUCAGGAGGAACACCGGUGGCGAAGGCGGGUCUCUGGGCAGUAAACUG
rnacentral:rRNA from 1 species